rnacentral:rRNA from 1 species
UACGAAGGGUGCAAACGUUGCUCGGAAUCAUUGGGCGUAAAGAGCGUGUAGGCGGUCCGGUAAGUCAGCUGUGAAAGUCAAGGGCUCAACCCUUGAAUGCCGGUUGAUACUGUCGGGCUAGAGUCCGGAAGAGGCGAGUGGAAUUCCCGGUGUAGCGGUGAAAUGCGCAGAUAUCGGGAGGAACACCAAUGGCGAAGGCAGCUCGCUGGGACGGUACUGACGCUGAGACGCGAAAGCGUGGGGAGCAAACAGG